UCAUCCUCUUGACCUCUUCCCCUCCUGAUUCCAGCCCCACCCGUCGACCCGGUUACCCUUGCCACCGACGUACGCCGCCCCGCUGCGGCGCUCCUCGACUCACGUCCCGCCUCCUCCCGUCGCAUCCAGGUGCUGCGCUGCACCUCUGCUGCUUGCUGCCGUCUCUCUUACCUCCCACCACUGCCUCUGAAUUGGUGAUCACGGUAUUGUUAGUGGAUGGGUCCGGCUGUGCACAAUGACAUCAUCAAUGGGCGAAGUGAGAUAAGGGAAUCAAUGGGGCUACAACUGUAUGGCUUCAGAUGACUGCAUCAUCCUGAGCAACUUCUCGUGUACGUUCUAUCCUCUCACAAAGUUCCGAUUUUUUCUUCUUCUUCUUUAUGUUAGUUCCUUGGGUCAAAAUCUGUUUGGUAUUACUAGAUUCACUCAAAUUUAGUUGUUUCCGUGAGUAAUUACAUUGUGCAGUUGCACUUUUAAUAAUUUUUAUAGGUUAUUAUAUACUUUAGAGCCCUAAUUUAGAUCGGUGGUACAAAAUCUUAAAUUUAGUCUACUUGAGCAAUUCCUAUUACUGAUUUUUUUCAUUUGAGAUCAUAAGAAGGUUACUUGAUGGAUGGAGGAUUUGUAACAAUACAUUCAUCAAAGCAAUGAUAACAUCAGUUUGUUCCGUAUCAAUUAACUUGAGCAAAGCAAAUAUUAUUCAGCUCAGUUCUAUGGUCUCAUCCAUGCUCAUUUGGUGGUUCCUAAAGUUUAUUAUUGGCUUUGGAAGUCCUGUUGCAUUAUGAAGACAAAGGUCUAUGCAUGGUUUCUUUUAAAGGAUCGAUUAAAUGCAAAUGACCUUCUGGUUCGCAGGAAUUGGAAGGUAGCUGAAGAUUCUCACUGUGUUCUUGGCCCUCUGAAAACGCAUGAAGAUAGAUUGCAUCUCUUUUUUGGGUGCAAUUUCAGUCAACUGGUACUAUUUGCAAGUGGACUGGAUACAAAAUGAUGAUCUGCAGAUUGUAGUGUCUCGCGCAAAGAGGAGCUUUCCCAAACCAUUCUUUAUGGAGCGCUAUGCAAAAAAAAAUCAGGCAUGAGCAGCCAUCGUUUUCUAGAUGGAAGUGUGGCUUUACUCAUGACAUGUCUCUGCUUAGGCAUAGACUUAAGGCAAACCAUGUGGUCGGUUUUCUUGCUUGGCUAGACUCCCUACCUUAAGCUACAUUUCUUCUUUUGUACAUACUUACGUCUUUUUACCUCUUCUCCUUUUGUAUAUAUGUACUCCUUUCCUUUGAAAUAAAAUUGUUGUGGGUUUUUUGCCUCACAGUUCACAGUAAAAAAAAAAUUAUUUAGGUAACUGCUCUUUGUGGGAAUGCAUCCUCCUUUUGCUACUCAAACUGAGGAAAUUAAGGCAAUUGCAGCACUGUACUGCAGAUGUUGAGUUCGGGGUAUCUCAUGAAAGUGUUUUACUCAUUGACACUCAGCCAGUAUGCAGUCCGUCCAUCCUACUUAUUACGAUGAGGCAUGGUGGUUCUUCCACACUUCCUGUUCUUAACGAUGAUCCAUUAUCAGAGACUUGGCCCAUGAUCUAAUGGGAAUCCAGGAAUUUCUAUACCUUGGUGUUUUCUUGGCGUCUAUCUGUAAUAUUUGUUGGUCGUGUUGGAAGGGUUCAAUGGUUUCACCACGUGGGAGCUCAUGCUUAUGGUAAGUUAUCUGCCUAUAAUUUUCUGUUUAUAGACACUCACUUCUUUCGAGAAUUAGGAUCAUUUCUUCAUCUGGCAGUGUGAAUUGCCAAUUCUAUUUAGAAAACCCUCUUUUAUUGAGCCUAUUCUAAUAAUAUGUGUAGAACAAUAGAACAUUACAUCCAUAGGUUCAUAAUUGAGUAGUGAGUAUAUGAGUUAUCAUAGAAAAUUAAGGCAACCAAAAGAAGCACUGAUCUUACUCUUCGAUUCCUAUAACCUUCUAAUUUUAGUACAGUAGAUUGAUAAUAUGCACAGGCAAUAUUUUCUUCAACAUUUAGUUUAUCUGUGUUAAUAUUUGCCAAUAUUGUUGAAAGCUGGAAUUUGCUUUGUAAUGUAUUUUUAAGGAUUGAUUUAAUGAAGGAUACCAUACUUCACCCAUAACUGCUGACCUCACCAUCAUCACCAGACAAAAAAAAUAAAAUGAUAAAAAAUCAGGCAGUGAAGAUUAUAUGGCCGAUCUAUUAUUUGUCCAUGCUAGGUGAGCGUUUUGAACAGCUAUACUUGCGUUAGGAGAGUGUAUUAUUCCUGUGAUUCAAAAAAAGAGUGUAUUAUUCCUGAUAUCAGAUGCUCAUUUCUAUUCCUAAUAAUAAAUAGAUCUUUUUGAAUUUCCUGUUGGUAAAGAAAUGAAUAGUUCUGCCAAAUGAGCAUAUGAGCACUUUCCACCAACUGCCAGUACAUUUCAAAAGGCAAUUCCGUACUGUCUGAAAAUAUAGUAUUCAGUGGUGAUCAGUUUAGCCGAAUAGGACAGUAGGUUCCAACUUGCGGUGAACUUCUGGUGAAUCACUGUACAUAUUAGAUCAUAGGGCCAUGUGCUUGAAAGUAAAUCAUAAGUAGAACAUGAGUUACCUAAAAUCAGAGUUAACUAACAGAAAAGACUGGGGCAACAAUAUAUGCAAAAUUGUUGAGCCUGUCUGUGCUAGAAUUAGUAUGUGUUCUGUUCACACAUCAGGGUAUACAGUACUAAAACUAAAGUUAAAUAUUCAGCCUUUAUGGAGUCAGUUCAUGUAUUUGUACUACCUCUGCUCACACUAGGCCAUAUGAUUAAAUAACCAGAGGGAGAGAAAAAUCAGCAUCCAUGUGUCCGCUCACACUUGGAAGAUGAUUAAAUAAUUAGAGGGACAGAUGACAUUGUUUGCUAAUAUUUACAUUUUUUGACUGGUUCUAUAUGAAAUAGAAUAUAGAAUUUAUGUGAAACCAUGAUUGAUAAAAUCAGGUUCAUGUCUGUACAAAUUAGUUGAUCCAGCAAAAUUUAUUCUUGGAAGUAGAUGAUAUUUUUUCCACAUCCUUUUGAAUGCAACAGCAAUAUAACAAUAAUGUGAUCUAUUAAUAGAUUUGCAU